CUGUUUUGGUGUUUAGCUCCAUUAUGGCGCAGGGUUUGGAAGGUUUGGCACAAUUUCUUCGUUUUCAGCACGACUGCCAACGCAGCAUUGUGGAGCUUCGUCUGAGUCAUCCUGGGAGAUGAGAGCUCGAGUGACAUUCUUGCAAUUACUUUUAUUUGAAUUUUUGUGGCUUUAGAAGACUGAAGCCCUAAAUGAAAGAGAUUCUACCCUGGCACUGCUUGAUAACACAGCAUGAGACCAUCGCAUCCGUUCUCAAUGGUGGUAACAAACCCACAUUGUUCGGGAUGUACAUAUGCGUGCAAUUUAAUUGUGAGAGCAAAAUUUUCAAAUCACAGUCAAAAUUGAACGCAAGGAUUUAAUUAGGGUAGUUUCGAAGUUGUAACAAGAGUAUGAGACUCGUGAGUUGUUGGGUGGCACAGGGGGAAGCACAGAGUCUGAGUUUGAAGAUCUUUACAGAUGCUGGCAUAUUCUUGACAUGUCAUGGCCAUUGCAGACUCGGGCGAUGAAGGGGGCACAAGACCAGGGCUCCGUUGCCACGUGAUUCGAGAUGACCUCCUUCAUCCCAUCGCGGGUGGGAACAACCUCCGCAAUCGUGACACUCCUACUCCACUUUUCCCAAUCUUAUGGACUCACUGAUGUUAUAAGCCUUCGAACCUAAAAGAAAACUCCCCAACGUACAUCACUUUGGAACUAGUGGCGUCGAUGGGAAUCUGUGGAAGUCCUUAAAACCCCUGUGCCUUGCAGCUGUUGCAUGUGCAGAGGUUGACGGAAGGCUUACUUGCUGCUGUUCGGAGAGAGGCCAGCGGACAGUAAGUGUUCCAGAUACACAUCUGUUGAAUGAACCCUGAAGCUAAAUUAUGGGCGGAAACAAAGAGAGUGGCAAUUGUAAAUGAGGGUGCCGGUGAUUGCCAUGCAGUGCUGGAUUGUAUGACAAACUCAUUAUCUUUAAAGAAUGUGGCGCAGCUGCUGGAGGGUGAACUACGUUACUGACUAUGCAAACACGAAUUCAUUGAGCUAGAAGGCUUGUAGAUUUCUUGUCGCAGCCUACAUACGGAAGGAAGGAACUUCUGCACAUCAUUAUUGACUAUGGAACUGGAUCCUCGGUUAUUGGACUAUAUAUCAGCAUUUCUCUUAACUGGUAUGGGAAAUGAUUCGUGCCGAGUCUCGACGUGAGUUGGGUUUUUCUUACUCGUUCACAAGUUCCUUACGACAUAUCCUACGAGUUGGGUUUUUCUUACUCGUUCACAAGUUCCUUACGACAUAUCCUACGAGUUGGGUGUGACGUUUUUCAGAACACCAAAUCAUGUGCUUUUGUUAUCUACAUGCUUUCUUGGAAAGUGAAAAGCGUGAUGCUUGCAGGUAUUGAGGAAUGAAAAUCUUGCAUAGUUUUUGAUACGUCGUUGGAAAUAUUGCAAGUCAUCAAGCUUGAUGUAUGUCUGCGCAUCCUUUCAACUGUCUUACAAAACAGGAGCUAUUCUACUUCAGAAGAACAAUAUCCGUAAACUUUCAAUGAAUUUUAUUUCGCCCAUCA